rnacentral:rRNA from 1 species
UGGAUGAUGUGGAUUAAUUCGAUGCAACGCGAAGAACUUACCUACCCUUGACAUGUCCGGAACUUGCCAGAGAUGGCUUGGUGCCCGAAAGGGAAUCGGAACACAGGUGCUGCAUGGCUGUCGUCAGCUCGUGUCGUGAGAUGUUGGGUUAAGUCCCGCAACGAGCCGCAACCCUUGUCAUUAGUUGCCAUCAUUUGGUUGGGCACUCUAAUGAGACUGCCGGUGACAAACCGGAGGAAGGUGGGGAUGACGUCAAGUCCUCAUGGCCCUUAUGGGUAGGGCUUCACACGUCAUACAAUGGUCGGUACAGAGGGUUGCCAACCCGCGAGGGGGAGCUAAUCCCACAAAGCCGAUCGUAGUCCGGAUCGCAGUCUGCAACUCGACUGCGUGAAGUCGGAAUCGCUAGUAAUCGUGGAUCAGCAUGUCACGGUGAAUACGUUCCCGGGUCUU